GCGGCCUAUCAGCUUGUUGGUGAAGUAAUGGCUCACCAAGGCAACGACGGGUAGCCGGCCUGAGAGGGCGACCGGCCACACUGGGACUGAGACACGGCCCAGACUCCUACGGGAGGCAGCAGUGGGGAAUAUUGGGCAAUGGAGGAAACUCUGACCCAGCGACGCCGCGUGCGGGAUGAAGGCCUUCGGGUUGUAAACCGCUUUCAGUAGGGAAGAAGCGAAAGUGACGGUACCUACAAAAGAAGCACCGGCUAACUAUGUGCCAGCAGCCGCGGUAAUACAUAGGGUGCAAGCGUUGUCCGGAAUUAUUGGGCGUAAAGAGCUCGUAGGUGGUUCGUCACGUCGGAUGUGAAAAUCUGGGGCUUAACCCCAGACCUGCAUUCGAUACGGGCGAGCUAGAGUGUGGUAGGGGAGACUGGAAUUCCU
rnacentral:rRNA from 1 species